rnacentral:rRNA from 1 species
CGGGUGAGUAACACGUGGAUAACCUACCUAUAAGACUGGGAUAACUUCGGGAAACCGGAGCUAAUACUGGAUAAUAUAUUGAACCGCAUGGUUCAAUAGUGAAAGACGGUUUUGCUGUCACUUAUAGAUGGAUCCGCGCCGCAUUAGCUAGUUGGUAAGGUAACGGCUUACCAAGGCAACGAUGCGUAGCCGACCUGAGAGGGUGAUCGGCCACACUGGAACUGAGACACGGUCCAGACUCCUACGGGAGGCAGCAGCA